GAACGCCGUAUGCGGUAAAAGUCGCAUGUACGGUGUGGAGCAGGGGGUGCGACAAGAAGCAACUUCUUCAUAAUAAAGUCAGUACAGGAAACUGUUACUCUAGU
rnacentral:ncRNA from 1 species